CCACCACAGAGGAAAAAAGUAUCCCUGCUGGAGUACCGAAAACGGAAACAAGAAGCUAAGGAAAAUUCUGCUGGUGGGGGAGGUGACUCUGCACAGAGCAAAAGCAAGUCUGCAGGAGCUGGGCAAGGCAGCAGUAACUCCGUUUCCGACACUGGUGCCCAUGGUGUGCAGGGAUCCUCAGCCCGAACUCCAUCUUCCCCUCACAAAAAAUUCUCCCCAUCUCAUUCCUCUAUGUCCCAUUUGGAGGCGGUAAGCCCAUCAGAUUCCAGAGGCACUUCUUCAUCUCACUGCAGACCUCAAGAGAAUAUCAGCAGUAGGUGGAUGGUUCCCACAUCAGUAGAACGACUCCGAGAAGGAGGGAGCAUCCCCAAGGUCCUCCGAAGCAGCGUGAGGGUGGCCCAAAAGGGAGAGCCCUCUCCCACAUGGGAGAGUAACAUCACAGAGAAAGACUCAGACCCUGCAGAUGGAGAAGGCCCAGAGACAUUAAGCUCAGCACUCUCUAAAGGAGCAACAGUUUACAGCCCUUCCAGAUACAGCUACCAGCUCCUGCAGUGUGAUAGUCCUCGGACAGAAUCACAAAGCCUCCUUCAGCAGAGUUCCUCCCCCUUCAGAGGACAUCCUACACAGUCUCCAGGAUACAGUUAUCGAACUACUGCACUGAGACCUGGAAACCCCCCCUCUCACGGUUCUUCAGAAUCAUCCCUCUCUUCCACGUCCUAUUCCAGCCCCGCCCACCCUGUGUCCACAGACUCGUUGGCCCCAUUUACGGGGACACCAGGGUAUUUUAGCAGCCAGCCACAUUCUGGAAACAGCACUGGCAGCAAUCUUCCAAGGAGGAGCUGCCCUUCUAGUGCUGCUAGCCCUACCCUGCAGGGACCCUCAGACUCGCCAACCUCAGAUUCAGUUUCUCAGUCCAGCACAGGAACUCUGAGUUCCACCUCCUUUCCUCAGAACUCUAGGUCGUCAUUGCCAUCAGACUUACGGACUAUCAGUCUGCCCAGUGCUGGGCAGUCAGCUGUCUACCAGGCCUCCAGGGUAUCUGCGGUUUCCAAUUCACAGCACUACCCACACCGUGGGAGUGGGGGUGUGCACCAGUACCGACUCCAGCCACUGCAAGGGUCAGGAGUCAAGACUCAGACGGGACUUUCCUAGGGCUUCUGGAUUUGGGCAAACAGAACUGAAUGAGCCCAUAGCUGCUUCCUUCCAGCUGCCUCUGGAACCUAGGCCGAGCAUAUUGCUGAGGAACGGGGGGUACAAGGUGCCAGAGGAUUGGGUCUGGUGGACAAGAAACAAGACUUGUGGUCACAAUUGGCCUCUGGCCUUGGAGAAAGCUGUAAAUCUUGUCUGAAGCAGAGACUAUAAAGAAGUUUCUCCCUGCUGUCAAGGGUACAUUGUUGACAAGCAAAUGGUGUUUCGGUUAGUAACGGUUCUAAGUG
rnacentral:lncRNA from 1 species